rnacentral:lncRNA from 1 species
UUGGAGGAACGGAAACGUGCCAGGUUUAUUUUCUGAAUAAGCAGUACGUUCUUUCACUUUGAGCAUCUCUACGAACGUCAGUGGAAGAGGUUUGCAAUUUCCCCCCUAUGCCUGUGACGUGCCCCCAUCCCACCUCCUGCCCCUGCUCUGCAGUCCCUGUGGCCAGGAGAGAGGAAGCAGCGCUGCCUCUCCUCUGCUCCGGGGAUUCUUGGUGAAGAUGUCUGUGGAGGAGGGCCCAAGGCAGCCAGCAGCCAGCAAAGGGCACCAUGUUCACAUUAACAUUUAUCCUUGGCAGGCACCUUCGCCCUUGCACUCACCCACCCACAGACAGAAAUACACAAGGGAACUGAUCAUAGAUCACAGAGUAAUUCAGGUUGGAAGAGACCAUCAAGUCUAACCAUAAACCUGACACUGCCAAGUCCGUAUCGCCCUUCCUUCCCAAAACAUGCACCCUGCAAGACACUCUUACAGAUAACACCGAAGUAAAGCCCUGAACAGUUUACAGGGUUUCCACCCCAGCCAAGUGCCUGCUGGGGCCUUAUUGCUUCCUUAAUCCUGUACCUCUCCUCUCUGAACUGGAGCUGCCAGGCUGCCCGGCACAAGGAACAAGCAACGCCAGCAGCCCCAGGCCUGCUGUGGAGCUGUGAGAUGCAGCAGGGAGAGUGGGUCAGCAGCCACCCCGCGGGAGCUGGGGCUGAGGGUGGCACUGGGACACUCAUCCCACUCCCAUCGUGCUCGGGGAGGUGUUUCAGCAAGCUGAGCGCAAGAGGAGCAGCACUUGCUGCUGCUGCAGCAUCUGCACAGAGCCUGUGGCAGGACAUCCUCUGGUGCCUGCGCUGGUGGGUGCACACAUCACAGCACAGAGCACCCCUAGAGCCAGUGCUGCUCCCGGGACACAUGGCACGGGAGGCUUCACAGCCCUUCCUGAGGUCAGGCUGUGCCUAGAGAGACAAAGAGAUGCCGAAGGGCACCUCUGCUUGCAGCUUACUGAGCUCCAGCCCAGGCUCUGCCUAUGGGGGGAGGAUGAGGUGUCAGCAGGCGUCAGUGAUGGCAGUGGCACAGGCUGCUGGCACCUCUUGUGCAGGGGAGAGACAUGGCCACAUGCCACUGUCAGGAGGCCCUGGCUGUGCCUUGCACGGCAGCAGGAAGCCCUGUCUGAGGGGAGCCCAGGAGCAAGGCAGAUGGGCCACCAGCUGUGGAAGGAAGGUGCAUUCUAUCUCAGGAGACCUGGGUGAGCCUCUGUCACCUCUCCAAAGCAGGAGGAAACAUUUUAAUCCCCAGAUAUAGCUCCUUAUUCUCUCAAAGGACAAUUUUUGCAUCCCUACCUUUUAAAUGAAGAAUAAACGUGUCUCCCAGGGGUGGCUGUAUUGGCUGGAAAGGCACCAGAGCUUGCAUCUUUCAGUGACAUGAAGGGAUGAAGCUCCCUCUGCUGGGUUUUCCUGCAGAAGCGAGGCACAGGCAUGAUUUCUGUGCAGGGUUGUGUGUGUAUGUGAUCACAUACACAUACGUAUGCCCCUCUCUACAAGAGAGACAUUGAGGUGGUGGAGCGGGGCUAGAGAGGGGCAACAGGGCUGGUGCAGGGCCACCUCACUACAUCCUCCUGUCAGGCAGUGGUAGAGAGCAAUAAG